AGCCUCCUGAAGCAACUGAAGGUCAUCUGCUCCUCAUCAACAACAUACAAAGCUUCAGGUCGAGGUAUGAGCCACGACCGUGUUUGCUGGGAAAAAAGCUGUCGUGGUCAGGAUCAGGUGGACUGCAGCUCUCGUCACUAUGUUGAUGUGUAGAAAUUCAAGGAUUUCAGGACAUUGAGUGCUCCCCCAAUUGCACGAGACGGGGAGGUGGAUGGCAUUUUUGAUGAAAUUGCUGACGUGAAUGGGGCUUUGAGAAGACUGAAAUCUCAUCAGUGGCGGAUAUACUGGCUCAAGAUGUUCAUGAGCUUCCUACAAGCACUGAGCUAACUCUUCCCUGCAUUUUUUGGGUCAAGUCUGCCAACACCUAUGGGAAGGUAAAACGCCGUGAUGAUGGGAUUUAAGUUGAAGCAAAAAACUGCAAAAACAGGAAGAAAGAUGGAAGAGAACCUUAUGGGUCGGCCCAAAAGUCAUGGUGGCGCAACACCGAUGCUGAUCAAUAGCCUCGGCAGUGCCGCCUUUGGACAAGCCCUCUGUCUCGAUUCUCCCUUCGCAACUCAGCUCCACCGAC